rnacentral:lncRNA from 1 species
AUACCAGCAAGAAUUUCACUUCGCAUGUCUCAUGGAUAAGGCAGCUAGAAAUCCCUGUGGCUGAUCAAUUUCUGUUUCACUGAAUUAAGAUUAGACAGAGACGACAUGUCCGGAGAGACAGUCAGCAGAUCACAGUUCUCCUUGAAGACAUGUGCAAUUAGAGUGUUUGCCCUCCCUGUGUCUUGGUACUAUUCUCUCUCCCAGAUCAAGUUUCCCCCAGCAGCUAAGAAGUUGUUUAUGGUAACCGCAGUAAGUGCUGUGUCUGUGAUUUUUCUGGCUCACCACUUCAAAAGACGACGGGGAAAACAGAAAGGAAAGGUGCUGCCCUGGGAGCC